rnacentral:rRNA from 1 species
UACGCAGGGGGCUAGCGUUGUUCGGAAUCACUGGGCGUAAAGCGCACGUAGGCGGAUCUUUAAGUCAGGGGUGAAAUCCCGAGGCUCAACCUCGGAACUGCCUUUGAUACUGGGGAUCUCGAGUCCGGGAGAGGUGAGUGGAACUGCGAGUGUAGAGGUGAAAUUCGUAGAUAUUCGCAAGAACACCAGUGGCGAAGGCGGCUCACUGGCCCGGAACUGACGCUGAGGUGCGAAAGCGUGGGGAGCAAACAGG